rnacentral:rRNA from 1 species
GGAAUCUUCCACAAUGGACGCAAGUCUGAUGGAGCAACGCCGCGUGAGUGAAGAAGGCUUUCGGGUCGUAAAACUCUGUCAUUGAAGAAGAACGUGUGUAACAGUAACUGGUCAUGCAGUGACGGUAUUCAAUCAGAAAGUCACGGCUAACUACGUGCCAGCAGCCGCGGUAAUACGUAGGUGGCAAGCGUUGUCCGGAUUUAUUGGGCGUAAAGCGAGUGCAGGCGGUCUUUUAAGUCUGAUGUGAAAGCCUUCGGCUUAACCGAAGAAGGGCAUCGGAAACUGGGAGACUUGAGUGCAGAAGAGGAGAGUGGAACUCCAUGUGUAGCGGUGAAAUGCGUAGAUAUAUGGAAGAACACCAGUGGCGAAGGCGGCUCUCUGGUCUGUAACUGACGCUGAGGCUCGAAAGCGUGGGUAGCAAACAGGAUUAGAUACCCUGG